rnacentral:lncRNA from 1 species
UAAAAUUUCACCAAAAAAAAAACAGAAAAAAUAGAAAAAAUCAAUUAAAAACAAAAAUUCAUGGAAACUAUUAAUCUAUUAUCGCAUAAUCGUAAGCAGAAUUGUUCAAUUGACGAAUCUAUGAAAAAAUCUAGCUAUUGAAAGUGAAAUUAGUCAGCGAUAAAAAAUAUAUUAAAACAUUGGAAAAAAAAAGCUGAGAAAGAAACUUACGAUUGCGUUGAGGAAGAUGCAAUUGGAAAUGAUCGAUUGGACAUGUGAUGGUUGAUUUGGAGUGAAGAAAAGCCCUAAAAUUGAUGAUGAUGGUAAGAGAAAGCUCGUGGAAGUUUCCAGGUUUUUUCUAGAAUUUUAGGCCCCUAAACAGGUCAAAGUUCUUAGGUUGUUUUUUU